rnacentral:rRNA from 1 species
GAUGAACGCUGGCGGCGUGCCUAAUACAUGCAAGUCGAGCGAACGGACGAGAAGCUUGCUUCUCUGAUGUUAGCGGCGGACGGGUGAGUAACACGUGGAUAACCUACCUAUAAGACUGGGAUAACUUCGGGAAACCGGAGCUAAUACCGGAUAAUAUUUUGAACCGCAUGGUUCAAAAGUGAAAGACGGUCUUGCUGUCACUUAUAGAUGGAUCCGCGCUGCAUUAGCUAGUUGGUAAGGUAACGGCUUACCAAGGCAACGAUGCAUAGCCGACCUGAGAGGGUGAUCGGCCACACUGGAACUGAGACACGGUCCAGACUCCUACGGGAGGCAGCGGUAGGGAAUCUUCCGCAAUGGGCGAAAGCCUGACGGAGCAACGCCGCGUGAGUGAUGAAGGUCUUCGGAUCGUAAAGCUCUGUUAUUAGGGAAGAACAGAUGUGUAAGUAACUGUGCACAUCUUGACGGUACCUAAUCAGAAAGCCACGGCUAACUACGUG